rnacentral:rRNA from 1 species
CCUACGGGAUGCAGCAGUGGGGAAUAUUGCACAAUGGGGGAUACCCUGAUCCAGCGAAGUCGCGUGAGUGAAGAAUUCUUUCGGUAUGUAACGCUCUAUUAGCAUGGAAGAAAAGUACGGUACUUGAUCAACAAGCUCUGUCUCACUAAGUUCCAGCAGCCGAGGUAAUACGUAGGCGGCAGGUGUUAUACGGAGUUACUGGGUGUAAAGGGAGCGUAGACGGCAGCAAAAGUCAGGAGUGAAAUGCCGGGGCUUAAUCGCGGAACUGCUGUUGAAACUGUACAGUGAGAGUGCAGGAGAGGUAAGCGGAAGUCGUAGUGUAGCGGGGAAAUGCUUAGAUAUUAGGAGGAACACCAAUGGCGAAGGCAGCUUACUGGACUGUAACUGACGUUGAGGCUCGAAAGCGUGGGGAGCAAACAGGAUUAGAUACCCCGGUAGUC